rnacentral:rRNA from 1 species
UACAGAGGUCUCAAGCGUUGUUCGGAUUCAUUGGGCGUAAAGGGUGCGUAGGCGGCGUGGUAAGUCGGGUGUGAAAUCUCGGGGCUUAACUCCGAAACUGCAUUCGAUACUGCCGUGCUUGAGGACUGGAGAGGAGACUGGAAUUUACGGUGUAGCGGUGAAAUGCGUAGAUAUCGUAAGGAAGACCAAUUGCGAAGGCAGCUCGCUAAACUGUAACUGACGCUGAGGCACGAAAGCGUGGGGAUCAAACAGG